GCUUACGGCAUACCACAUUGAGCACGCCCGAUCUCGUCCGAUCUCGGAAACUAAAGUGUCGGGCCUGGUUAGUACUUGGAUGGGAGACCGCCUGGGAAUACCAGGUGCUGUAAGCU
ensembl:rRNA 5S_rRNA 5S ribosomal RNA